GAUGAACGCUGGCGGCGUGCCUAAUACAUGCAAGUCGAGCGAACAGAUGAGGAGCUUGCUCCUCUGACGUUAGCGGCGGACGGGUGAGUAACACGUGGAUAACCUACCUAUAAGACUGGGAUAACUUCGGGAAACCGGAGCUAAUACCGGAUAAUAUAUUGAACCGCAUGGUUCAAUAGUGAAAGACGGUUUUGCUGUCACUUAUAGAUGGAUCCGCGCCGCAUUAGCUAGUUGGUAAGGUAACGGCUUACCAAGGCAACGAUGCGUAGCCGACCUGAGAGGGUGAUCGGCCACACUGGAACUGAGACACGGUCCAGACUCCUACGGGAGGCAGCAGUAGGGAACCUUCCGCAAUGGGCGAAAGCCUGACGGAGCAACGCCGCGUGAGUGAUGAAGGUCUUCGGAUCGUAAAACUCUGUUAUUAGGGAAGAACAAAUGUGUAAGUAACUAUGCACGUCUUGACGGUACCUAAUCAGAAAGCCCCGGCUAACUACGUG
rnacentral:rRNA from 1 species